GACGAACGCUGGCGGCGUGCUUAACACAUGCAAGUCGAACGGUGAAGCACCUUCCUUUUGGUGGGUGUGGAUGAGUGGCGAACGGGUGAGUAACACGUGAGUAACCUGCCCCCUUCUUCUGGAUAACCGCAUGAAAGUGUGGCUAAUACGGGAUAUUCUGGGUCUGUCGCAUGGCGGGCCUGGGAAAGAUAUUGUUUCGGUGGGGGAUGGGCUCGCGGUCUAUCAGCUUGUUGGUGGGGUGAUGGCCUACCAAGGCGGUGACGGGUAGCCGGCCUGAGAGGGUGGACGGUCACACUGGGACUGAGACACGGCCCAGACUCCUACGGGAGGCAGCAGUGGGGAAUAUUGCACAAUGGGAGCAAGCCUGAUGCAGCGACGCCGCGUGAGGGAUGGAGGCCUUCGGGUUGUAAACCUCUUUCGCCAGUGAAGCAGGCCUGUCCCUUUUGUGGGUGGGUUGACGGUAGCUGGAUAAGAAGCGCCGGCUAACUACGUG
rnacentral:rRNA from 1 species